rnacentral:sRNA from 1 species
AAAAGAAGGAAAAGCAUAAAUAUCAAAGUUGGGACGAAGAAGUUUGUAUAUGUAAAAACUUCAUAAAAAUUAUAAAUUUUGUAUAAUCAACACACCGAAUGAAGUUGAGGAAAUAACAAUAUGUUUUUUAUACGCACUAACGUGUAAACUACUAAAUUUUCAGCUGUUGCCACUGCGUUUGCCAUAAUAAAUACAUCAUCACAUCAAGAAUGCCAUAACUCAGCCAUGAACAAUCAAUUUUGAAAAGAACGAGUAAAUUAACCCAAAAGCAAGUACUAUGGGUGUAUGCAUAAAAAACCGCCUACCAUGCGCGCACUGCCUUACAAAUCGAAAAAAAAUAAAUAAAAACAAAACAAAAGAAAAAUAUAAAAUUGGUGAACGAAAAAAUACGAACGUAUGUAGCUAAAUCAAAAGAUAUAAAACAUGGCUUACUAAGGUUAUCGCAAUGCCCCAAUUUGCUCAGUGUAGUAGUUUUAUUUUUUUUAUGAAUAAAGCAGUACCUAUGGUCGGUAAAUUAGCCAUAAACAUUGA